CCUUUGGAGAACCAUACAAAAUCAUAGUAGCUUAGGCAAAGCGAGGUUCUAUGAAGAAGGAA
rfam:Clostridium perfringens str. 13 DNA, complete genome.